GGCCCAUGCCAGGCUCACGGCUGUCUACCCAGCUGUCUUCCAACACUUCUGUACUGGAACCACAAGCUCCUGCUGCUGCUUCCCCUCUGGCCUCUCGUACCCCUUACUCAGGGCUCCCUUCUCCAGCAGUGAGACUGUCACCCUCAGCCUGGCUGUGAGCAGGUGACCUGAGCAGCCCCAUGGGGCCUCCUGCUCAGGGGUUCAAGGCUCUGCUGUCACUAUCCUGAAGUUCCUAAUGACUUUGGAGCAAGGGCCCUGCAAUGUCAUUUUGCACUGGGUCCCGCAAAUUAUGAAUCUGGCUCUAAUUACCCACAAUAUGCUUGCUCAAUUCUGGAGCGCACACAGUAAUUUCGUAAUUACUAACUCAGGUUGUUGUACAAAACAGCUUCACAAACUGGGGCACAGCGUCCACAUGCUGUUCUUUCUGUCUUACAGCCUAUGAUCAAAACACUCUUCCAAAGCAGGCGGUGGAUUUCCUCCCCCACCCCCUGGCUGAAGUUCAUUUGUGACGGCUGGCAUUCCAUUUUGGCAACAUGCCCCAUCCUGGUUGAUUUUAAUCACUUAUUUACUUUGGAGGGUGCGUGGUAGAUUUCUGUGGUCUCGGAAGGAGCACAAAAGCUGCAGCCUCCACAGUAAGCCAGGCCCACCAGCGCCUGCGCCUUUGAGGACUGGGAGGGAAGGUCCUGUCUCCCUGUUGCCUCCACUGACACCCCCACCUCUCUGAGCCCCCACUUCUCCUGCAACGUGGAGACUCUCUGAAGGGGGAGGAGCAGGGUGGCAGGGCUGCAGGGGUGAGGGGCUCCUGCCACCUCAUGGCUGGGUGCAGUGGCUGGCCAUGCACUCACUGGGUGGCGGCAGAUGCUGGUGGUGUCCUGUGUGUCAUGACCCCACUGCGUGAUGGCAGGGCCAGGCUCAUCUCCAGGAACCUCACAUCAGGGAUCCCCACCAAAGCCUCUUUAUAUCGUGUCAGAAUGUGGAAAGCCUGUUUUAUUUCGUUUUCUGAAAUACUUUUAAGAAUUGAUAAAAAUAGCCUUUACUGAUAGUUACAUGGAUCUGGGACAUCCGCGGCCUCAGCACAUGUCUAAACCGUUUCCAUCCUUUAACUCAUUCAGUCCUUUCAACAACCUUCCAUGCUGGGUGCGAUGACUGCUCUCUGCACAGAUGAGUAAACUGAGGCACAGGUGCCAGGACCCUUGCCAAACGAUGAGGGAGUCGGAGAUUCUAACCCAGGACCCCAGGCUUGAGCCCUGCCCUUGCCCUCUCCUGCCCGCCUGCUUUCUCCAAAACCCCGAAACCCAACCCUGAAUGGAGAAAGUGCAGGGAGGGUCUGCGGCUGCCUGGCAGCGUCCUGGCCACAGGACCUUGAACAAACCAGGCCUCAGUAUGGGGGGCACAGGAAGAAUGCAGAGCACCUCAGGGCACUGGCUGUUUCUCGGUAAGGAACCUACAGGUUGUUUCUUUUUCCCUUCUGUCUAAGCUUUAAAAAUCACCAUUGUGAUGCAAUAGAACUUUUCAGAAUUUUAGAUACAGUUUCUCUGUGUGAAUAAGGCUUAGAGGAUAUGAGAAUGUUCCUGUAACUGACGGUCAUAAUGCUGUCUUUGAAUACACAUAUUGAAAAACCACUUAAAUAUUAACCUUUGAUUCGGAACCAGGAUGGGCUUAGCAGUGGGGACCUGUAGGACAUGGCCGGCUGGAGCCCGUGGCCAGCAGACGUGGCCAGCAGACGUGGCCAGCAAAGAGCACAAUUUAAAAGGGGCGUUUCCGUCCCACUGACACUGUGUAAAUAUGUAUG
rnacentral:lncRNA from 1 species